rnacentral:sRNA from 1 species
UAACAAUAGCAGAGCAAGACUGACAACAAUAAUUAAAAUAAGAGAAUAAAGAAGAUGUAGUCAGAGGCCAUUCUGAAUGCAUUCAGAUUCUCAGUGUGUAUGAGGAAGGCUGCCUGUAAUUAAGAGGGAAUCUUUAACCAGUUUCAGUGUAGUAGUGAAAAAGUGCUUCCAUCUGACACUCUCCGCAGUGCUCUGGCAAAGACUUUCCAGGAUGAACAACGUUUCCAGCUGGGAAUUAUGGAUGAUGCUGCAGAGUGCUUUGAAAACCUCCUGAUGAGAAUUCACUUCCACAUUGCUGAUGAAACCAAAGAGGAUAUAUGUACUGCCCAACACUGCAUUUCCCAUCAGAAAUUUGCAAUGACAUUGUUUGAGCAGUGUGUAUGUACUAGCUGUGGUGCCACUUCUGAUCCGCUGCCUUUCAUCCAGAUGGUACAUUAUAUCUCCACCACUUCCCUUUGCAAUCAGGCUAUUUGUAUGCUGGAAAGACGAGAGAAACCUUCACCAAGCAUGUUUGGUGAACUGCUGCAGAAUGCCAGCACCAUGGGGGAUCUGCGGAACUGUCCAAGCAACUGUGGAGAGAGGAUCAGGAUUCGCCGUGUUUUGAUGAAUGCUCCACAGAUUAUCACGAUUGGGCUGGUAUGGGACUCAGACCACUCAGACUUAGCAGAAGAUGUUAUCCACAGCCUGGGAACCUGCCUUAAGCUGGGUGAUCUGUUCUUCAGAGUGACGGAUGACCGGGCCAAGCAAUCUGAACUGUACUUAGUUGGAAUGAUCUGUUACUAUGGCAAACAUUAUUCUACAUUCUUUUUUCAAACAAAGAUUCGCAAAUGGAUGUAUUUUGAUGAUGCUCAUGUCAAGGAGAUUGGGCCCAAAUGGAAGGAUGUGGUGACCAAAUGCAUCAAGGGGCAUUAUCAGCCCCUGCUGCUGCUUUAUGCAGAUCCCCAGGGUACCCCAGUGUCCACCCAGGACCUGCCUCCCCAAGCUGAGUUCCAGUCAUACAGCAGGACGUGCUACGACAGUGAAGAUUCAGGACACCUGACUGAUAGUGAAUGUAAUCAGAAACACACAUCCAAGAAAGGGUCACUGAUAGAGCGCAAGAGGAGCUCUGGUCGGGUUAGGAGGAAAGGCGAUGAGCCCCAGGCCUCGGGAUACCACAGUGAAGGAGAAACACUGAAAGAGAAGCAGGCUCCUAGAAAUGCCUCCAAACCAUCCAGCAGCACCAACAGGCUGAGGGAUUUUAAAGAGACAGUCAGCAAUAUGAUCCAUAACAGACCAUCCCUGGCUUCUCAGACCAAUGUAGGCUCUCACUGUGGGGGCAGGGGAGGAGACCAGCCUGACAAAAAACCUCCUAGGACCCUGCCUUUACACUCUCGUGACUGGGAAAUAGAGAGUACCAGCAGUGAGUCAAAAUCCAGUUCUUCCAGCAAGUAUCGUCCAACAUGGAGACCCAAACGAGAAUCUCUGAAUAUUGACAGUAUCUUUAGUAAGGACAAAAGGAAGCACUGUGGCUAUACCCAGCUUAGCCCCUUUUCUGAGGAUUCAGCUAAAGAAUUUAUACCAGAUGAACCAAGCAAGCCACCUUCUUACGACAUUAAAUUUGGUGGACCAAUCCCUCAGUACAAGCGCUGGGGCCCAGCACGGCCAGGCUCUCACCUUUUAGAGCAGCACCCCCGACUAAUCCAGCGAAUGGAAUCUGGCUAUGAAAGCAGUGAGAGGAACAGCAGCAGCCCUGUCAGCCUGGAUGCAGCCCUGCCUGAGAGUUCAAAUGUCUACAGGGAUCCAAGUGCUAAGAGAUCAGCUGGGUUGGUUCCUUCCUGGCGUCAUAUCCCAAAGUCGCACAGCAGUAGCAUCCUGGAGGUAGACUCCACGGCAUCCAUGGGUGGCUGGACAAAGAGUCAGCCUUUCUCAGGUGAGGAGAUAUCUUCUAAAAGUGAACUGGAUGAAUUGCAGGAAGAGGUGGCCAGGAGGGCGCAGGAACAGGAACUUCGAAGAAAACGGGAGAAGGAGUUAGAGGCAGCAAAAGGGUUUAACCCUCAUCCUAGCCGCUUCAUGGACUUGGAUGAACUGCAGAAUCAGGUGAACAGCCUAUCCCGCUCCAAGUAUUGUUAAGCCAAGAGGCCCAACUGGAAUCCCGCAUGGAUACAGAGUUUGGGGCCAGUUCUUUCUUCCAUUCACCUGCUUCCUGCCAUGAGUCACACUCAUCACUAUCUCCAGAGUCAUCUGCCCCACAGCACAGCUCCCCCAGUAGAUCUGCCUUGAAGCUUCUGACUUCGGUUGAAGUAGACAACAUUGAACCCUCUGCAUUCCACAGGCAAGGUUUACCUAAAACACCAGGGUGGACUGAGAAGAAUUCUCAUCAUAGUUGGGAGCCAUUGGAUGCCCCAGAGAGUAAGCUGCAAGGCUCUAGGUGUGACAACAGCAGUUGCAGCAAGCUCCCUCCACAAGAAGGAAGAGGCAUUGCUCAAGAACAGCUGUUCCAAGAAAAGAGGGAUCCUGCUAACCCCUCCACGGUGAUGCCUGGAAUAGCCACCUCUGAGAGGGGAGAUGAACACAGCCUAGGUUGUAGUCCUUCAAAUUCAUCAGCUCAGCCCAGCCUUCCCCUGUAUAGAAGCUGCCACCCCGUAAUGCCUGUUGCUUCUUCAUUUGUGCUUCACUGUCCUGAUCCUGUGCAGAAAACUAACCAAUGCCUCCAAGGCCAAAGCCUCAAAACUUCAUUGACUUUAAAAGUGGACAGAGGCAGUGAGGAGACCUAUAGGCCAGAGUUUCCCAGCACGAAGGGGCUUGUCCGUUCUCUGGCUGAGCAGUUCCAGAGGAUGCAGGGUGUCUCCAUGAGGGAUAGUACAGGUUUCAAGGAUAGAAGUUUGUCAGGUAGUCUAAGGAAGAACUCUUCCUCUUCUGAUUCUAAGCCUCCUUUCUCACAGGGUCAGGAGAAAGGCCACUGGCCAUGGGCAAACCAACAAUCCUCUCUGGAGGGUGGGGAUAGACCACUUUCCUGGGAAGAGUCCACUGAACAUUCUUCUCUUGCCUUAAACUCUGGGCUGCCUAAUGGUGAAAAUUCUAGGGGAGGACAGCCCAGAUUGGCAGAGCCAGACAUAUACCAAGAGAAGCUGUCCCAAGUGAGAGAUGUUAGGUCUAAGGAUCUGGGCAGCGGUACUGACUUGGGGACUUCCUUGCCUUUGGAUUCCUGGGUGAAUAUCACAAGGUUCUGUGAUUCUCAGCUUAAACAUGGGGCCCCUAGGCCAGGAAUGAAGUCCUCCCCUCAUGAUUCCCAUACGUGUGUAACCUAUCCAGAGAGAAAUCACAUCCUUUUGCAUCCACAUUGGAACCAAGACACAGAGCAGGAGACCUCAGAAUUGGAGUCUCUGUAUCAGGCCAGUCUUCAGGCUUCUCAAGCUGGCUGUUCUGGAUGGGGGCAGCAGGAUACGGCCUGGCACCCACUUAGCCAAACAGGCUCUGCAGAUGGCAUGGGGAGGAGGUUGCACUCAGCCCAUGAUCCUGGUCUCUCAAAGACUCCAACAGCAGAAAUGGAGCAUGGUCUCCAUGAAGCCAGAACAGCUACACCUUGCCGAGGCCUCAGCAGGGAGUGUGGGGAGGAUGAGCAGUACAGUGCAGAGAACUUACGUCGCAUCUCACGCAGUCUCAGUGGCACCGUUGUCUCAGAGAGGGAGGAAGCUCCAGUUUCUUCCCACAGUUUUGAUUCAUCAAACGUGAGGAAGCCUUUGGAAACCGGGCACCGUUGUUCCAGCUCCUCUUCCCUCCCUGUCAUCCAUGACCCUUCUGUGUUUCUCCUCGGUCCCCAACUCUACCUUCCCCAACCACAGUUCCUGUCCCCAGAUGUCCUGAUGCCCAGCGUGGCAGGGGAGCCCCAUAGACUCCCAGGAACUUCAAGGAGUGUCCAGCAGUUUCUGGCUAUGUGUGACAGGGGUGAAACUUCCCAAGGGGCCAAGUACACAGGAAGGACUUUGAACUACCAGAGCCUCCCCCAUCACUCCAGAACAGACAACUCCUGGGCACCCUGGUCAGAGACCAACCAGCAUAUUGGGACCAGACUCCUGACUACUCCAGGGUGCAAUCCUCAGCUAACCUACACUGCCACACUACCAGAAAGAAGCAAGGGCCUUCAGGUUCCUCACGCUCAGUCCUGGAGUGAUCUUUUCCAUUCACCCUCCCACCCUCCCAUUGUUCAUCCUGUGUACCCACCAUCUAGCAGUCUUCAUGUACCCCUGAGGUCAGCUUGGAAUUCAGAUCCUGUUCCAGGGUCCCGAACCCCUGGUCCUCGAAGAGUAGAUAUGCCCCCAGAUGACGACUGGAGGCAAAGCAGUUAUGCCUCCCACUCUGGACACAGGAGGACAGUGGGAGAGGGGUUUCUGUUCGUUCUAUCAGAUGCUCCCAGAAGAGAGCAGAUCAGGGCUAGAGUCCUGCAGCACAGUCAAUGGUAAAGGUUACUCCUUUCCUUUCCUGGAGCUACACCUUUCCUUUCCUGGAGCUACACCUUUCUUUGUAAAACUGUACUGUGGGCCGGGCGCGGUGGCUCACACCUGUAAUCCCAGCACUUUGGGAGGCUGAGGCGGGUGGAUCACGAGGUCAGGAGAUUGAGACCAUCCUGGCCAACAUGGUGAAACCCCGUCUCUACCAAAAUACAAAAAAUUAGCCAGGCAUGACGGUGCGUGCCUGUAGUCCCAACUACUCGGAAGGCUGAGGCAGGAGAAUUGCUUGAACCCGGGAGGCGGAGGUUGCAGUGAGCCGAGAUCGCACCACUGCACUCCAGCUUGGCAAUGGAGUGAGACUCCAUCUC